CCCUUAGAUGUUCUGGGCCGCACACGCGCUACACUGAAGGAGGCAGCGUGUACUCCUGAAUCGAAAGAUUUGGGUAACCCGCGAAUCUCCUUCGUGCUAGGGAUUGAGGUUUGCAAUUAUCCUUCAUGAACGAGGAAUUCCCAGUAAGUGCAAGUCAUAAGCUUGCGCUGACUACGUCCCUGCCCUUUGUACACACCGCCCGUCGCUACUACCGAUUGAAUGAUUUAGUGAGGACUUCGGACUGGGACCGAUGCGGCUUUCGGGCUGCGUCGGUAUUCUGGAAAGAUGUCCAAACUGUAUCAUUUAGAGGAAGUAAAAGUCGUAACA
rnacentral:rRNA from 1 species